AAUCAACGCUGGCGGCGCGCUUAACACAUGCAAGUCGAACGAGAAAGGGAGCAAUCCCAAGUAAAGUGGCGCACUGGUGAGUAACACGUGGAUAUCUACCUCCUGGUGGGGAAUAACCUGGGGAAACCUGGGCUAAUACCGCAUAAGCUUUAGCGAGGAAAGCCGAAAGGCGCCGGGAGAGGAGUCCGCGGUCGAUUAGCUAGUUGGCAGGGUAAAGGCCUACCAAGGCAAAGAUCGANAGCCGGCCUGAGAGGGCACACGGCCACACUGGCACUGAAACACGGGCCAGACUCCUACGGGAGGCAGCAGGUGGGGAAUCUUGCACAAUGGGGGAAACCCUGAUGCAGCGACGCCGCGUGAGCGAUGAAGCCCUUCGGGUGUAAAGCUCUUUCGGCAGGAACGAUAAUGACGGUACCUGCAGAAGAAGCUGCGGCUAACUACGUGCCAGCCGCCGC
rnacentral:rRNA from 1 species